rnacentral:rRNA from 1 species
GACGAACGCUGGCGGCGCGCUUAACACAUGCAAGUCGAACGGAAAGGCCCUGCUUUUGUGGGGUGCUCGAGUGGCGAACGGGUGAGUAACACGUGAGUAACCUGCCCUUGACUUUGGGAUAACUUCAGGAAACUGGGGCUAAUACCGGAUAGGAGCUCCUGCUGCAUGGUGGGGGUUGGAAAGUUUCGGCGGUUGGGGAUGGACUCGCGGCUUAUCAGCUUGUUGGUGGGGUAGUGGCUUACCAAGGCUUUGACGGGUAGCCGGCCUGAGAGGGUGGCCGGCCACAUUGGGACUGAGAUACGGCCCAGACUCCUACGGGAGGCAGCAGUGGGGAAUAUUGCACAAUGGGCGGAAGCCUGAUGCAGCAACGCCGCGUGCGGGAUGACGGCCUUCGGGUUGUAAACCGCUUUCGCCUGUGACGAAGCGUGAGUGACGGUAAUGGGUAAAGAAGCACCGGCUAACUACGUG